GGUAAGUUAGCUAACUUGGUAAAGCGCCUGACUGUUAAUCAGCGAUAUCAGGGUUCAAAUCCCUGACUUACCGCCA
rnacentral:tRNA from 1 species